CCAGCACUGCCACAGGUCCCCCCUUGCGGUGGGGCUUGGGUUGGGUAGCAGAUGCUGAGACAGCCUUUGACUGCAUCCUUACUGUGGGGUCGUACCCAUGCCAGAUGUCUCUCAAUGAGACAGAG
rnacentral:snoRNA from 1 species